rnacentral:rRNA from 1 species
GCUUACGGCCAUACCACCCUGAGAACGCCCGAUCUCGUCCGAUCUCGGAAGCUAAGCAGGGUCGGGCCUGGUUAGUACUUGGAUGGGAGACCUCCUGGGAAUACCAGGUGCUGUAAGCU